CAACUAAAACCUUCGUGUUUCGUUUAGGUGGAUCUGUUGAGCGUGGAUUCGAUCGAGGGGCAUAACCGAGUAUCAGGUAAGGGCACAGCGAGGGGCAGACCGACGAGAGGCAGGAAGGACGCGUGAAGGCCAUAUGGACGCGUCUGGUUUUCUUAUCGCUUCCGCUAUGUAUUUUGUCAGAAUAUUUUGACUUGUGAUUUUGAACUGGUGACUUGAGUUUUUAUUUGUGA